rnacentral:tRNA from 1 species
GCCCGGGUAGCUCAGUUGGUAGAGCAGAGGAUUGAAAAUCCUCGUGUCGGUGGUUCAAUUCCGCCCCCGGGCACCA